AGUCGAAUGUAGCAAUACAUGGCGAACUGCUCAGUAACACGUGGACAACCUACCCUCAGAUCUGGGAUAAACCUGGGAAACUGGGUAUAAUACCGGAUAGGUCUUGGAUGCUGGAAUGCACCGAGGCCCAAAGCUCCGGCGUCUGAGGAUGGGUCUGCGGCCUAUCAGGGUAGUAGUGGGUGUAAAGUACCUACUAGCCUACGACGGGUACGGGUCGUGAGAGCGAGAGCCCGGAGAUGGAUUCUGAGACACGAAUCCAGGCCCUACGGGGUGCAGCAGGCGCGAAAACUUUGCAAUGCCGGCAACGGCGAUAAGGGGACCUCGAGUGCCAGGAUACAAUCCUGGCUGUCGUAAUGCCUAAAAAGCAUUAUAUAGCAAGGGCCGGGCAAGACCGGUGCCAGCCGCCGCGGUAACACCGGCGGCUCGAGUGGUAACCGCUAUUAUUGGGUCUAAAGGGUCUGUAGCCGGCCUGGUAAGUCUUUUGGGAAAUCCGGCAGCUCAACUGUCGGGCUAUCAGAGGAUACUGCUAGACUCGAGACCGGGAGAGGUGAGAGGUACUUCAUGGGUAGGGGUGAAAUCUUGUAAUCCUUGAAGGACCACCAGUGGCGAAGGCGUCUCACCAGAACGGAUCUGACGGCAAGGGACGAAAGCUAGGGGCACGAACCGGAUUAGAUACCCGGGUAGUCCUAGCCGUAAACGAUACUCGCUAGGUGUCGGCCACGGUGCGACCGUGGUCGGUGCCGUAGGGAAGCCGUGAAGCGAGCCACCUGGGAAGUACGGCCGCACGGCUGAAACUUAAAGGAAUUGGCGGGGGAGCACCACAACGGGUGGAGCUUGCGGUUUAAUUGGAGUCAACGCCGGGAAGGGCG
rnacentral:rRNA from 1 species